UACGUAGGGGGCAAGCGUUGUCCGGAGUUACUGGGCGUAAAGGGCCGGUAGGCGGUCAGGCGCGUUUGGGGUGACAGUGGUCGGCUUCACUGACCAAGAGCCUCAAAGACGGCGUGACUGGAGGGCCAACGAGGGACAUGGAACUCCAGGUGGAGUGGUGAAAUGCGUAGAUAUCUGGAAGAACACCAAAGGCGAAGGCAGUGUCCUGGGUGGUACCUGACGCUGAGAGGCGAAAGCCAGGGGAGCGAACGGG
rnacentral:rRNA from 1 species